GGAGGUGUGGUGUAAAGGUUAACACACAUGAGAAACUUCUGACUCCCUUGGCCUGUAUUGGAUUAUACUAGCGGAUGGGAGAGCGAGUGCUUAGGCGCCUACAGAUUGACUCGUAAGAUCGUUGGUUCGAUUCCAACCGCCUCCA